UACGGAGGGUGCAAGCGUUAUCCGGAUUCACUGGGUUUAAGGGUGCGUAGGUGGGCAGGUAAGUCAGUGGUGAAAUCUCCGGGCUUAACCCGGAAACUGCCAUUGAUACUAUUUGUCUUGAAUACUGUGGAGGUCAGCGGAAUAUGUCAUGUAGCGGUGAAAUGCUUAGAUAUGACAUAGAACACCAAUUGCGAAGGCAGCUGGCUACACAAAUAUUGACACUGAGGCACGAAAGCGUGGGGAUCAAACAGG
rnacentral:rRNA from 1 species